rnacentral:ncRNA from 12 species
UGGUCCGGAGAUGCGUAAGUAUUUCCGGAGGUGAUUUUAGAUGGUCGGGCCGCCAUCU